rnacentral:tRNA from 1 species
AUUUAUAUAAUAUAAAAAUUAUAUUUGACUUCCAAUCAAAAAAUCUAUACGAUAGUAUAAAUA